GAAAACUUCAAAAAUCCCCCCUGUGGUUUCGUAGUUUCUCACUUUGCCCCCCUGUGGUUUAAAAUGUAUCAAUUUGCUCCCCUGUGGUUUCGUUUUUAUCUUUUCGGUAGCUUUUUCGUUAAUAUUUCAUUAAAUUAUAUACAAAAAACUUCAGAUACCCAUCUAAAUUUAUCAAAUAUUCACUUUAGUACCAUUUAAUUUUAACUUUAUUAUUGAUUUAAGAAAAAAAAAUAAUGAAAUUGAUAAAA
rnacentral:lncRNA from 1 species